CCUACGGGCGGCAGCAGUAGGGAAUAUUGCUCAAUGGGGGAAACCCUGAAGCAGCAACGCCGCGUGGAGGAUGAAGGUUUUCGGAUUGUAAACUCCUUUUGUUAGAGAAGAAAAUGACGGUAUCUAACGAAUAAGCACCGGCUAACUACGUGCCAGCAGCCGCGGUAAUACGGAGGGUGCAAGCGUUACUCGGAUUUACUGGGCGUAAAGAGAGCGUAGGCGGGAUAGCAAGUCAGAUGUGAAAUCCUAUGGCUUAACCAUAGAACUGCAUUUGAAACUGUUAUUCUAGAGUAUAGGAGAGGUAGGUGGAAUUCUUGGUGUAGGGGUGAAAUGCGUAGAGAUCAAGAGGAAUACUCAUGGCGAAGGCGACCUGCUAGAACAUAACUGACGCUGAUGCGCGAAAGCGUGGGGAGCAAACAGGAUUAGAUACCCUUGUAGUC
rnacentral:rRNA from 1 species